rnacentral:rRNA from 1 species
AUUGAACGCUGGCGGCAGGCCUAACACAUGCAAGUCGAACGAGUGGCGGACGGGUGAGUAAUGUCUGGGAACCUGCCCGCUGGAGGGGGAUAACUACUGGAAACGGUAGUUAAUACCGCAUAUCAUCGGUUGUGCCCAGAUGGGUUUAGCUAGUAGGUGGGGUAACGGCUCACCUAGGCGGGGAUCCCUAGCUGUUCUGAGAGGAUGACCAGCCACACUGGAGCUAAGACGAGGUCCAGAAUCCUAAGGGAGGCAGCAGUGGGGAAUAUUGCGCAGUGGGCGGAAGGCUGAUGCAGCCAUGCCGCGUGUAUGAGGAGGGGCUUCGGGUUGUAAAGUACGUUCAGCGAGGAGGCGUUACUCGCAGAAGAAGCACCGGCUAACUCCGUGCCAGCCGCCGCGGUAAUUC